rnacentral:rRNA from 1 species
AUACGUAGGUGGCAAGCCUUGUCCGGAAUUAUUGGGCGUAAAGCGCAUGUAGGCGGUGCCUUAAGUCUGUCGUGAAACUGCGGGGCCUAACCCCGUAUGGCGAUGGAAACUGUGGCACUUGAGUGCAGGAGAGGAAAGGGGAACUCCCAGUGUAGCGGUGAAAUGCGUAGAUAUUGGGAAGAACACCGGUGGCGAAGGCGCCUUUCUGGACUGUGUCUGACGCUGAGAUGCGAAAGCCAGGGUAGCGAACGGGAUUAGAUACCCCGGUAGUCCUGGCCGUAAACGAUGGGUACUAGGUGUGGGAGGUAUCGACCCCUUCCGUGCCGGAGUUAACGCAAUAAGUACCCCGCCUGGGGAGUACGGCCGCAAGGCUUAAACUCAAAUGAAUUGACGGG